rnacentral:rRNA from 1 species
GAACGAACGCUGGCGGCAGGCUUAACACAUGCAAGUCGAACGCCCCGCAAGGGGAGUGGCAGACGGGUGAGUAACGCGUGGGAAUCUACCCAACCCUGCGGAAUAGCUCUGGGAAACUGGAAUUAAUACCGCAUACGCCCUACGGGGGAAAGAUUUAUCGGGGAUGGAUGAGCCCGCGUUGGAUUAGCUAGUUGGUGGGGUAAAGGCCUACCAAGGCGACGAUCCAUAGCUGGUCUGAGAGGAUGAUCAGCCACAUUGGGACUGAGACACGGCCCAAACUCCUACGGGAGGCAGCAGUGGGGAAUAUUGGACAAUGGGCGCAAGCCUGAAUCCAGCCAUGCCGCGUGAGUGAUGAAGGCCUUAGGGUUGUAAAGCUCUUUCACCGGUGAAGAUAAUGACGGUAACCGGAGAAGAAGCCCCGGCUAACUUCGUGCCAGCCGCGGC